GCCAGUGUGGUGUAGUGGUUUGAACAUUGAACUACAACUCUGGAGGCCUGGGUUUGAAUCCCUACUCAGCCA